CCCGCUGUUUUGGAAAGAAUUUAUACAAAAAAAUUUUUUUCACUUUGAUGUGAAAACAAAUGAGAUUAACGUUUUCUACAAAACACGACAAAGUAUAAAUAUCAUGAAGAUGAAAAUACAGACACAGAAAAAUCUGAAUUAAUUAAUUAAUUAAUUACUGACUGAUCGAUUCAAACGCAGAUACAUGAAGGUAAAAUGCACAUUAUAAACGCUGCAUAUCUCAGAGGUCCACUCACAUGUGCAAAUGGAAGUGUAAGGCUUCACCGCAGCAAAACCACAUCUUGGGGUGUGUCCUAAUGGAACCCUAGUCCCUAUAUAGUGCACUACUUUAGACCAGAGGCCCUAUAGAACCCUAUUCCCUAUAUAGUGCACUAUUUUAGACCAGAGGCCAUAGUGCCAUUUAGGACACACCUCACAUCUUGAAUGUGUUCUGUACUAGGGAACACAGGAUAUAUUUGAACUGAAAUUAAACGAGUCGAAAUAAAAAAAUAAGAAUACACGUAUUGACAUGCUUCUCGUGUCAAUUAUCUGUACCUUUUUAAUAACAUUCUUGUCUUUUAGUUAAAACCCAAACCAGCCAAAACAUUAAAUAGUAGAACAACUAUAAUCUCAUAUCACUUUGUUGUAGGAUCGAACACGUGGGAACCUGGUGUACAAUGCUGUCCAAAACUGUACACAUGAAACAUAAUUUCAGUUCAUAUUCAAAAGAGAAAUCUCAUCAAGUAAUGCCAGGAAUAUAUACAAAUAUAUAUGUUAAUAUAUAUAUACAUGUAUUAGGAAAAUACAUAUACAUGUAUUAGGAAAAUACAUAUACAUGUAUUAGGAAAAUACAUAUAAAUGUAUUCAAUGUAUACAGAAAUAUAUAUAAUGUAUAUAUCAAUGUAUACAGCAAUAUAAAUAAAUGUAUUAGGAAAAUACAUAUCGACGUAUACAGAAAUAUAUAAAUGUAUUAGGAAAAUACAUAUAAAUGUAUUAGGAAAAUACAUAUCGACGUAUACAGAAAUAUAUAAAUGUAUUAGGAAAAUACAUAUAAAUAUAUUAGGAAAAUACAUAUAAAUGUAUUAGGAAAAUACAUAUCAAUGUAUACAGAAAUAUAUAAAUGUAUUAGGAAAAUACAUAUCAAUGUAUUAGGAAAAUACAUUUCAAUGUAUUAGGAAAAUACAUAUCGACCUAUACAGAAAUAUAUAAAUGUAUUAGGAAAAUACAUAUCAAUGUAUACAAUGUAUAAAGAAAUAUAUAUAAAUGUAUAUAUCAAUUUAUA
rnacentral:lncRNA from 1 species